rnacentral:rRNA from 1 species
AUUGAACGCUGGCGGCAGGCCUAACACAUGCAAGUCGAGCGAGCGGCGGACGGGUGGGUAAUGUAUGGGGAUCUGCCCGGUAGAGGGGGAUAGCUACUGGACACGGUGACUCAUACCGCAUACUAUCGGAUGAGCCACUAUGGGAUUAGCUAGUAGGUGGGGUAAAGGCGCACCUAGGCGACGAUCUCUAGCUGGUCUGAGAGGAUGAUCAGCCAAACUGGAAAUGAGACACGGCCCAGACUCCUACGGGAGGCAGCAGUGGGGAAUAGUGCACAAUGGGCGAAAGCCUGAUGCAGCCAUGCCGCGUGUAUGAAGAAGGCCUUAGGGUUGUAAAGUACUUUAAGCGGGGAGGCGUUACCCGCAGAAGAAGCACCGGCUAACUCCGUGCCAGCAGCCGCGGUAAUUC